CAAGAGUUAAAACACUUGAAUGAGACACUAAACUAACCCCCCCGAAGGGGAGGUUACUUUAGUGUCUUACAAAAGAUUUUAAAACGCAACCAACCCCACACUUUACCACCCCCGCGAAAGGGGGUUGGUCAAGUGUUUUAACCCUGCAUUCCGGGGGGUUAGUUUAGUUUCUUACACAAGGUUGGUUGCGUUUUACAAACUUGACCAAACCCCUCCCGAGGCGCUCUGAAAGGAGCGCUCUUCUCUAGUUGUUUAAAAAUUUAGGAACGGAAAAUUCUUAACAAUCGUUAACGGUGCUCUUCUGGGUUGUAACGCCGUAUGGACUUGUAAACAGAAACACAACGCCUCCAUCUCCAGGGUUACAUGUUCACAAGACCAACAUCGACGUCUUGACCGCAUAAGUCAUUUUAAUACAGAAUGUCGUACUUUAAAAAUUUUUGCUAUCAUGCAUCACACUAAAUACAAGUAGUAGGUACAAACAAUUAAUGAAGAGGAUGGCAUACAUUUAAUAUGCUUGGAAAAUGUACACAUGGUCGUGAGCUUACAGUUCCGAGAGCACUCAGAAUUCAGUUCCAUAUAGAGGCGAGUGGUUAGCUACACGCUCUGCGCAAUUUACCCGGGAUAGGGUCGUCAAAAGGAUUCUUGAAGAUUUGCCAUUGACCGAGUGGUGUCUGCACUGUUCGUGGCCUCCCUGACCAUAGAUCACUUAGAAGGCUGUUAUAUAUCAGUUCCACUCACGAACAAAAGGAUCAACCAAAAUGUUUUAUUUUGUGUAUGGUGUGUUGUUUUGUUGUGUCUUACGUUCUGUUUUGUGUCAUGUUGAUUUGUUCUGGCCCAUUGUUUUGUUGUAUCGCGAUGUUCUGUUGUGUCUUAUUGAUUUAUUCUGGCCCAUUGUUUUUGUUGUGUCUUAUGUUUUCUGUGUCUUAUUGAUUUGUUCUGGCUCAUUGUUUUGCUGUAUCGCAACGUUCUGUUUCUUAUUGUUUUUGUUGUGUCUUAUGUUUUAUCUGUCUCAUUGUUCUGUUGAGUCUUAUAGUUUUGUGUCUUAUCGUAGGACCACUGUCACCGGGUAAAAACCCAUUUGCAGUGAAAUAAAUAAUAAUUCAAUUCAA